rnacentral:rRNA from 1 species
GACGAACGCUGGCGGCGCGCCUAACACAUGCAAGUCGAACGAGCGAGAGAGAGCUUGCUUUCUCAAGCGAGUGGCGAACGGGUGAGUAACGCGUGAGGAACCUGCCUCAAAGAGGGGGACAACAGUUGGAAACGACUGCUAAUACCGCAUAAGCCCACGACCCGGCAUCGGGUUGAGGGAAAAGGAGCGAUCCGCUUUGAGAUGGCCUCGCGUCCGAUUAGCUAGUUGGUAAGGUAACGGCUUACCAAGGCAAUGAUGCAUAGCCGAGUUGAGAGACUGAUCGGCCACAUUGGGACUGAGACACGGCCCAA